GAUGAACGCUAGCUACAGGCUUAACACAUGCAAGUCGAGGGGAAACGACAUCGAAAGCUUGCUUUUGAUGGGCGUCGACCGGCGCACGGGUGAGUAACGCGUAUCCAACCUGCCCAUCACUUGGGGAUAACCUUGCGAAAGUAAGGCUAAUACCCAAUGAUAUCUCUAGAAGACAUCUGAAAGAGAUUAAAGAUUUAUCGGUGAUGGAUGGGGAUGCGUCUGAUUAGCUUGUUGGCGGGGUAACGGCCCACCAAGGCAACGAUCAGUAGGGGUUCUGAGAGGAAGGUCCCCCACAUUGGAACUGAGACACGGUCCAAGCUCCUACGGGAGGCAGCAGUGAGGAAUAUUGGUCAAUGGGCGAGAGCCUGAACCAGCCAAGUAGCGUGCAGGAAGACGGCCCUAUGGGUUGUAAACUGCUUUUAUAAGGGAAUAAAGUGAGAGUCGUGACUCUUUUUGUAUGUACCUUAUGAAUAAGGACCGGCUAAUUCCGUG
rnacentral:rRNA from 1 species